GGCUUUUUGAUUAUAAUUUAAAGUCUGACCUGCCCAAUGAUUUAUUAAAUGGCCGCAGUAUAUUGACUGUGCAAAGGUAGCAUAAUCAUUAGUUUUUUAAUUGAAAGCUUGUAUGAAAGGUUUAAUGAGAAAAAUACUGUCUUUAUUUAAAUUUAUUAGAAUUUUAUUUUUAAGUAAAAAAGCUUAAAUGUUUAUUGAAGACGAGAAGACCCUAUAGAAUUUAAUAUUUUCAUUAUUUUUAUUAAAUUUGGAAUUUUAUAUAUAAAUUUAAUGAAAAUAUUUAGUUGGGGUGAUAAAAAAAUUAAUUAAACUUUUUUUUAAUUUUAACAUGAAUUAAUGAAUAUUUGAUCCUUAUAGUAAAAUUAAGAUAAUAAGAAAAAAUUACCUUAGGGAUAACAGCGUAAUUUUUUUUAGAGUUCUUAUCAAAAAAAAAGAUUGCGACCUCGAUGUUGGAUUAAAAUGAAUUAUUGGUGUAGAAGCUAAUAUUUAAGGUCUGUUCGACCUUUAAAUUUUUACAUGAUCUGAGUUUAAACCGGUGUGAG
rnacentral:rRNA from 1 species